rnacentral:rRNA from 1 species
UACGUAGGUGGCAAGCGUUGUCCGGAUUUACUGGGUGUAAAGGGCGUGCAGCCGGGCUGACAAGUCUGAUGUGAAAGCCCGCGGCCCAACCGCGGGACUGCAUUGGGAACUACCGGGCUGGAGUGCCGGAGAGGUAGGCGGAAUUCCUAGUGUAGCGGUGAAAUGCGUAGAUAUUAGGAGGAACACCAGUGGCGAAGGCGGCCUACUGGACGGUGACUGACGCUGAGGCUCGAAAGCGUGGGGAGCAAACAGG